GCAGUUUCAGUGUGUUUAUACUUUGUUUAUGCUUCUUGUGACAUGUGGACUUUAUAUAUUUAUCAGAUAGCUACUUAAUAACACUGUAUUAUUUAUACCUAUUUUAAACUACAAGAACACGACAAUGUAGCAUGGCCUUGUGUAAUACGAUCUCUGACUCUACAACAUGUAUACAACAAGUAAAAUGGAUCAUGUUGCCAUUGUGAAUACUUAUUCAUGGCGCAUGUUUCUGCUACGAAU